GGCUGCGGAGGAGGCCGCCCUGACCCUGCUGCUCCUCAUAUUCUGCUCCUGCCCAUCCACUGGGCUCCCCGCUUCCUGCUCCAACCCUUGCCCAUUCUCUAAGCUGGCCUGGCUUCUGCCCUCUGCACUCAGGGGAUCCUGCCCAACACUCUCUAGCCUUGGGGGGCUGCAUCUAGUGCCCCAUGCACCCUGUGCCCAGCUCCUGUGUGCACACAGAAGCCCUUGGUACACACUUGCUGCAGGAACAACAAAAGCUGUGGCGAAUUUGUGGCAUUCUCUGAGGGGAAAAGGAACAGGAGUGAGGCAUCUGGAGCAAGGGAGAAGGCCAGGCUGGGGGCUCUGCAUGGAAAUGAGGCUUUGGUGUCUCCCCAGCCUGCAGCAAAGUGGGGACUGAACAGCAUCUGCCCUGGAAUGGCGAUUAUUAAGCAGAAGUGAAGGUGAGGCACAGACAGCAGGGCUGAGGGCAUCGUCUCUGUCCUCCACCUGCAAGGGGAGGGGACACGUGUCAGCCCCGGCGAAGCUCUGGGGACCCCGGGGAAAGCCUUCCUCUCAGUGAGGAGGGACAGAGUGGGGCCAACAGCAAGAAGCCCUCGGUGACCCCAGAGCUGAGGGUGCUGCGGUGAAGCCGGUGGGCGAGGUCUGGGGGAGGCGCCUCCCACUUCCUGGGAGCCCU
rnacentral:lncRNA from 1 species